rnacentral:lncRNA from 1 species
UGAUCACUAAAUCCGCAAGUUUUUUUUUCAUCUUCUCUCUAUUUAUUUUCUCUUAUUCCUUUCUGUUUAAGAGCGUAGGCUCGAAAUAUAAAAGAUUUUUACAUUUUCCCCAUCGUCAGACUAAUACUUGUUGUUCAUACACUUGUCUUCCUCUUUUCUUUUUCUAUAAGUUUCAACUAUCUCUUCUACAGCAAGACACCUGUUUCUGUCCCUCCGUCAUGCUCUACCCUCUCAUUACAAGAAGCACCCAGCACACUCUGUAAAAUGGUUGGCAUUGGGAAGGGCAUCAAGCCAUAGAAACCAUACCAAAACAGAGAGAAAAGCUUGACACAGUCCUCUGGCUCAUCAGCUCCUCUCAAACCAUCCAACGCAUGCCAGCAUACUCUACUCUUUUACUCUUUUACUUGUUUCAGUCAUUUGACUGUGGCCAUGCUGGAGCACCGCCUUUAGUCGACCAAAUUGAUCCCAGGACUUUUUCUUUGUAAGGCUAGUACUUAUUCUAUUGGUUUCUUUUGCUGAACCACUAAGUUACGGGGACGUAAACACACAAGCAUCGGUUGUCAAGCAACGUUGGGGGGACAAACACAGACACACAAACAUGUACACACAUACAUAUAUAUAUAUACAUUGAUGAUGAUGAUAUACGACAGGCUUGUUUGCAGCUUCCGUCCAUCAAAUUCACUCACAAGGCUUCGGUCGGCCCGAGGCUAUAGUAGAAGACACUUGCCCAAGGUGCUACGCAGUGGGACUGAACCUGAAACCAUGUGGUUGGUAAGCAAGCUACUUACCACACAGCCACUCCUGCGCCUAUAUAUAUAUAUAUAUAUAUAUAUAUAUAUAUAUAUAUAUACACACAUAUAUACGACGGGCUUCUUUUCAGUUUCCAUCUACCAAAUCCACUCACAAGGCUUUGGUCAGCCCAAAGCUAUAGUAGAAGACACUUGCCUAAGGUGUCACGCAGUGGGACUGAACCCGGAACCAUGUUGUUGGUAAGCAAGCUACUUACCACACAGCCACUCCUGCACCUAUAUGUAUAUAUAUAUAUAUAUAUAUAUACAUAUAUAUACGAUGGGCUUCUUUUCAGUUUCCCUCUACCAAAUCCACUCACAAGGCUUUGGUCGGCCCUAAGCUAUAUUAGAAGACACUUGCCCAAGGUGCCACGCAGCGGGACUGAACCUGGAACCAUGUGGUUGGUAAGCAAGCUACUUACCACACAGCCAUUCCUGCUAAAUGAUGAUGCCACCAAAAAUAAUAAUGAUGAUGAUGAUAAUGAUGGCAAUGACGAAGAUGAUGAUGAUGGUGCUCAUCUCUACCUACCUACCAAGUCAUCUACUGAUGAACACCACCAGUCACCUGUUUCCAGAAUUCUCUCUCUGGCAUUGCUUAUAGUAGGUCACUUUUCAGCAAAGCUCUAGUGAUCUUUGAUGUUGCUAUUCUUUCUGUUCUGUCAAUUUAGAACAUAUCUAUCUAAUUAAUCAUCUUCAAACCAGACCAGAACAGACUAAGGAAGGUAUACAAUAGCCUUCAUACGAAUAGAUAAGCCAAAAUAAAAUACAAAAGAACGAAAGAAAGAAAGAAAGAAAGAAAGAAGGAAAGAAGGAAAGAAUGAAAGAAAGAAAGAAAGAAAGAACGAAGGAAAGAAAGAAAGAACGAAAGAACGAAAGAAAAAAUGAAAGAAAGAAAGAAUGAAAGAAAGAAAGAAAGAAAGAAAGAAAGAAAGAACGAAAGAAAGAACAAAAGAAAGAAAGAAAGAAAGAAUAGAAGAAAGAUAGAAAGAAAGAAAGAAUGAAUGAAAGAAAGAAAGAAAGAAAGAAAGAAAGAACAAAAGAAAGAAUGAAGGAAAGAAAGAAAGAAAGAAAAAAGGAAAAAGGAAAGAAAGAAAGAAAGAAAGAAAGAAGCUACAAAGAACAGCUCAAUGUUUCUGUGGUUAAAUUUUUUUCUUCUUCUUUUGUAGUUUUCCUGAAUUGGGAAAAGUAAUUUAUGGUUGGCCAAUUCUUGAAAUGUUAUAUCUUUUUUUACUGUUUAAAUACGUAGGCAUGUGUUCAUAGGUUGUACUAGGUAUUAGAGCAUAUACACCCACAUACUUGUGGCUGAAAGUAUGUGUGUUUAUUACUUACUAACUAAAUAAUCCUGUAAUUUAAAAUUAAGAAAUAUUUCGUGGGCACACCAUCUUUAUACAAAAUAGGUUUUCUAGGUGUGGUUGUUAUAGAUAUACCUCCCACUUACUCUGCAUACAUACAUUGUAUACUAUAUAAUGUAUGAUAUAUAUAUAUAUAUAUAUAUAUAUAUAUAUAUAUAUAGAUACAUACAUACAUAUACAUACACACACACACAUAUAUAUAUAUACAUAUAUAAAUACACAUAUAUAUAUAUAUACAUAUAUAUAUAUACACAUACAUAUAUAUAUAUAUAUAUAUAUAUAUACAUAUAUGUAUAUAUAUAUAUAUAUAUAUAUAUAUAUAUAUAUAUAUAUAUAUAUGUAUGUAUAUAUAUAUAUAUAUAUAUAUAUAUAUAUAUAUAUAUAUAUAUAUAUAUAUAUAUAUAUAUAUAUAUAUAUAUAUAUAUAUAUAUAUAUAUAUAUUAUAUAUAUAUAUAUAUAUAUAUAUAUAUAUAUAUAUAUAUAUAUAUAUAUAUAUAUAUAUAUAUAUAUUAUAUAUAUAUAUAUAUAUAUAUAUGUAUGUGUAUUUAUAUAUAUAUGUAUAUAUAUUUGUAUAUAUAUAUAUACUAGCAUGGAAAGCGAAUGUUAAACAAUGAUGAUGAUGAUGAUUAUGAUAUAUAUAUAUAUAUAUAUAUAUAACACAUGAAAACAUACAUACAUAUGUGUGGUGGGGAGGGUGUAUGUAUGUGGGUGUGUGGGGGGGUGUGCGUGUUUGUGUGUGUGUGUAUUUGUAUAAUGUUGAUGAUGACAGUUCAUUUGUCAAAUUUGACGGUGACCUGGCAACUUAGAUACUAGAUUUUAUAUAAGUUGUUUUUUUGUAAAUGAAAACGAGCCACCGUGCACGCAUCAGAUACACUUUCUUGCUUUGACACAAUAUUCCCCAUUUUCGAGAUAAAGUAAAAACUAUUGAGCUUUUGUGAGAAAAUACAAAAGACUAAGGAGAUUGCCCAAAUAGCUGAAGGCAUCUCCAGAGCUCACAAUAUUAUCUAACAUGGUAUGUUGCCAGUGGCCCAGGAACAAAAUUUGCUAUGGGAGUGCAAACUCAGGUCCAAAUUUUUUCACAAACAAGGCCAUUUUUUUUCCAAUCUUAAUAAAUAAAAAACAUAGGUAUAAAAGUAUUUUCUAUUAUUAUACAUAGAAAAAUAAUGCUUCAAAUGAAUCCAAAAUUUUUUUUAUAAUCACUUGUUUUGGCACUGAAGUUUUCCAAGAGGAUGUCUAAAGUUGUUCCUUUGGCAUAAAGUGGUACAUAGGGGUAGGAGUGUUUUUAUGUUUUUAUGUACACGGGCGUAGGAGUGGCUGUGUGGUAAGUAGCUUGCUUACUAACCACAUGAUUCCGGGUUCAGUCCCACUGCAUGGCACCUUCAGCAAGUGUCAUCUACUAUAGCCUCAGGCCAACCAAAACCUUGCAAGCAGAUUUUGUAGACGGAAACUGAAAGAAGCCUGUCGUAUAUAUGUAUGCAUAUAUAUAUGUAUGUAUGUGUGUAUAUAUGUUUGUGUGUCUGUGUUUGUCCCCUUGCCAUCGCUUGACAACUGAUGCAAUACCCAAAGCAAGAGAGAAGACUAUGUUGGUUUGGACAUGUGAUGUGUAUGAAUGAGGACAGCUGCAUAAAGAAGUGCUGAUUACUGAAAGUGGAUGGUAUCUGUGGAAGAGGGGAGACCCAGGAAGACAUGGACCAAGAUGUCUGGUGAUAUGAAAUUCUUGAGAAGACCUGCCCAAAUCAGCGAAACUGUGUUCUAGAAGCACUUCUCACACACUCUACCACAACGAACCAAACUACAUCUCUACUUCUCUUCUCUUCUUUACAUUCCCACUUCAUCUACUAUGAUUACCUCCCACUCUCCAAUCUUGUCCUCUUGGCCCGGUGCCACUGUAUCACUGCUCUCUGCUUGCUCUUACCUGUGCAUUCUACCCAUAUGCCUUGUUUCACUCUAUUAUUUCCAUCUGCUAGCCUCUGACCUGGGUGUUCCACCCACACAUAACAAGAAAACUUUUCCCUCACCCUACCCCAACAAACCAAUUUACAUCUCUUCUCUUUCUCGCAUUUCCUCCUUCAUUCACUAUGCCUAGUUCUCACUCCCCAAUUCUGUCCCCACACCCCUGCUCCUCUGUAGCACCGCUAUCCGGUAGCCCCUCUAAUUCUAUAUUUGGGAUAUACACUUGGUAAUAAUUUACCAAACCUAGGAAUGCUUGUGGCAUUGUCACAUUCUUCAGGGGUGACAUAUUUCAUAUUGCUGACUCCCUUGAUGGGUCCGGUCUCCAUCCACUUUCAUUGAUUACUUGACCUAGGUAUUUUAUUUUUCCCAUCAAAAAUUCGCAUUUUGUUUCUGUCAGUUUUAGUCCAUAUUCAACUAUUCUCUUGAAUACUUUAUGUGUUUAACAUAUUGCACCCAAGACUUGCUCUUUAUCACAAUGCCAUCUAGGUAUACGAUGGUGAAGAUGCAAUCACUUAGCAUCACAUCCAUUAUUUGUUGGAAUAUGGCAGGUACCACUUUUAUCCAAACAGUAGUCGUUUGACUUCAUACAAUCCACGGUGUGUGUUGAUUGCUAGCAGAUGUGUGCACUCUUCCUCUAACUGAAUUUGAAAGGACGCCUCUGAGAGGUCUAACUUCCCUCCAUAUAGUUUAGCAAAAACUUCUUCUGGGCUUAGAAAUGGGUAUUUGUGUGUGAGUAAGCAGUUGUUUAACCUGGUUGAGAAGUCUGCACACACUCUUAGCUUUUUUUUUUAUGUACACUGCCAGGGCUGCACAGUUUGCAUGGUCAAUCUUUUCAAUCAUAUUCAGGCUUUCCAACCUUUCUAAAUCUUUAUUGACCUGGUCUACCCCUGCGAACAGCACGUUCCGUUUGGGCCUGAAAAUAGGUGUUGGGUUUUCUUUGAUAACAAUCUUUGCUUUUGUUUUGUGCAACAGCUUAAACUUUCCGUAAAAAAAAACUUUCCUGAGAAACACUUUUGGGAAAGUUUCUUUCAUUUUUUUUGUCUCACUUCAUUGACCUCAUUUGACCGCUCCGUUUAUGUUAUUGCACAAAGUAUUUAUGGGUGUAUCCCAUAAAUUAAAUUUCUCCAUACAUUCAGUGCCAAAUAAAUUCAUGGAUUUUUUCAACACAUAAACAUUCACUUUUUUGGUUCAACCUUUGAACAUUACAUUACAAAUGCAUUCGCCCUUGAAAUAUAAUCUUCUUCCUGUAACACCAUACGCUAUUUUGUUUGAACCAGAUAAUUUUGGUUUACUCAUUUGCUCCCAUGUUCUCUCAUUUAUGAUUGUGAUGUCACUUCCCAUGUCUAAUUGCAUUCUGACACUCUGACACUAAUGUUUUCAAUUCUCACAUUCAUGAAUUUUUUGUGGAGACAUAUAGAGAAACUCCAUCAAAAACUAGUGCCCAUGGUCAUAUGGCAUAGUGGUUUAAGAGCACGGGCUAUUAACCCAAAAAUUCUCAGUUCGAUUCCAGGCAGUGACCUGAAUAAUAAUAAUAAUAAUAAUAAUAUUAUUAUGUGCUGGUGGCACAUAAAAAGCACCCACUACAUCCGUGCCUGUGGCACAUAAACAGCACCCACUACAACACGCCGGUGGAACGUAAAAAGCACCCACUACACUCUCGGAGUUGUUGGCGUUAGGAAGGGUAUCCAGCUGUAGAAACUCUGCCAGAUCAAGAUUGGAGCCUGGUGUGGCUGUCUGGUUCGCCAGCCCUCAGUCAAAAUCGUCCAACCCAUGCUAGCAUGGAAGGCGGACGUUAAAUGAUGAUGAUGAUGAUGAUGAUGAUGAUGAUGAUGAAUAACAACAUCAAAAAAUACCUUAGGAAUGAGAACCCAGGUUCGAAAUUUCUCCAAGACACCUGAUGAAGGCUGGAGGGUAUAUCAGCUGAAACGUUGUGUUAACAACAAACAAGAUGAGGACAAAUAUCCAUCAAAUGUAAAUAAGUGUCUUCCACUAUUGACCAAUGCCUCUCAAUUUCAUUACUCAGAAGCCAUAAAGUUAAGUUUACUUAUUUCUCCCAUGCCUCAUUUGAAUGAAAUGUAAAUGUGCCAUAAAUCAUAAUCACACACAUUAUGUAUGCAUAGGUAUUAGAUAUUAUAGUGUAGCAAUCGAAUCUCUUGCAUUUGAUCUCUCUGACAGGCCAUUUUGCAAAACUUCCUACUUCACAAGUAAGCAAACUUGAGGAAGCUACCAAUUUAGCUGUCAAUAAUCCUAUCCUGCAACAGGUUGUACUGGGUUUCAUGUUACCAGUAAUCCCCUCAAGUGACUGCAUAUACACAUACAGGGGCUGAACAAAAUAAUGGAAUCACCUUAAAAUUUCAAACAAAUUUAUUUUAAUAUUGGGUAGGACCGCCUUUGGCAGUAAUUACAGCUUGAAUUCUACGAGGUAUGGAUUCAUACAAAGUUUGAAUUGUUUCCAAAGGAAUUUUUGUCCAUUCUUCAGCUAAAACAAUCUCCAGUUCUUGUAGUGAUGAUGGUGGAGGAUAUCGACUCCUUACUUGUUUUUCUGAAAUGCACCAUAAAUGUUCUAUAAUAUUGAGAUCUGGGGACUGUGGUGGCCAGAUAAGAAGUUCAACUUCACUAGAAUGUUUCUUGUGCAUUCAGUAACAACUUUAGCUGUGUGAAUUGGUGCAUUAUCAUCCUGAAAGAUUGCGUUUCCCUCCAGAAGCAGUUCUGCAACCAUAGGAUGAAUUUGAUCAGAUAAAAUGCUUUAAAAGUCUUGACUAUUAAUUCUGCCAUGAACGGAAACCAUUGGGCUGGCAGAUUUCCAAGAAAUAGCCCCACAGAUUAUCACAGAUCGGAAGAAGGCAGUCUGGGUCAAAUGCUUUUUUUGGCUGUCUCCACACAUAUACUCGGCCAGUGGUCGGAAAUAAGGUAAAGGAUGACUUGUCUGAGAAAAUAAUAUUCUUCCACUGCUCUAGUGGUAUUUUGUCUGUCUUUACAUUCUGGGUUCAAAUUCUGCCGAGGCUGAUUUUGCCUUUUAUCCUUUUGAGGUCAAUAAAUUAAGUACCAGUUGUGUACUGGGAUUGAUCUAAUUGACUAGCUCCCUUCCCCAAAAUUUUGGGCCUUGUGCCUAGAGUAGAAAAGAAUAAACCUGUUCUUCUCAUCAUACUUGAACUUCUUAGCCUCUCACCAAAAAUCAUUACCUUACCUCAUUUUCCCCUUUCAGUCAUGGCGUUACCACUUACAAGGCCCCCUCACAAAUCUUGGGACCACAAAAAAAAUGCACUCAGUACUUUUAAAGCAUGCAGAAGAUUUUUUUUGUUGCACCAAAAGUAGUUGGCAUUAAGAAGCCAUUGAAACCAUGCAAGAACUCAAACAUUGGAGUACAAUGUGGUCCUCCAAAUUCUUGGAUUCUGUCAAAUCAUGCA